UCUUUCUUUUUUUUGUUUGUUUGUUUAGUAAUGCACACAAUAAUCAUCUUUAUUGAGAAAAAAGAAUCACAUGAAAUAAAAUCAGAAUCUUCAAGGAAAAUGUAGGGCAUAAUAUCAUCAGGGUCAAACAGCUGCAAAGUGUCUGGAAUGAAAACAAUGUGGGGCCCCAGGGAGAAAUUGUUUUAUUAGCUUUGAAUAAUGCCUUAUGUUUUGAGUUAGACCUUUCUCCUUUUCAAGUCAAAUGUAAACACCACUUGGAGUAGGAUUGGUAAAUGAUGCAAUUAGCUGAGAAAGACCAUCUCGAAAUGGUCCUUGGGUGGAUUCGAGAAGUUAGUCUUGCUUUCAUUUUAUCAUAAAAAAACUUGUCUGAGUGGGAAUGGGAAGCAAGGUGUCUUGCUUUCCUAUUAAUGUUAAUAUUAAUGUUUAGAUUUAUGAUGCACACCAGGAAUCACAAAUGACCUUGAGAGCUACAAGGAUUUGGACAUUUACUCAAGGCAGUGUGAUAUUAAGGGUAAAGGUGGAAAGAUAUUACUACUCUGAAAAGGAUUCCCCAGGGGACUUGUGGAUGACCAAGUGUUGGGUGCCACAGAUGUGGUAGGACACCAAACUGCCGGGGGUGGAGGGGAAGCUGCAGUUGC
rnacentral:lncRNA from 1 species